GUCGUUGCCCUGGACGCGCACGGUCUGCAAGAGAGCAGGGUUAGAGGCCGGGCUGGGCAGCUCCCAAACCUGCUCUUCUGGCCGCCUUGGCCGUCGCGCCCCCUAGUCCGUGCACCCCACUUUCCGGACCCUGGUUUGCCCACCAUAACGAUCCGGCUUCCCUUUCAACCCCGUCUCCGCCGUGGCAUCGGGCUUACAACUCUGCGUGGACGCCGGGCCGCCUGCUCUUGUGUCCCCACCAUCUUAACCAAACUCCCACCUUGCAUCUGCCCUGUCCAUACAAACCAACACUGCUCGUCUUCCUGUAGCUGGUCCUUCAUAUAGGCAGAGCCCACCUCUCCUUCCUCCCUCCGUCACCUUUGGGAAACCCCAGGCUGGGGUCCCUGUUCGCUAACUGCCCCAAGUCUUUCCCGCCGAGACUCGCUCCAUCCUACAGCGCCGCCCCAGCCGGCCCUCCACACCUCCUCGCGCAAGCACGGAGGGCCUGCCUGAAUCGCGUCCUAAGGAGAGCCACCCUGUCCCCGGACCCCGCCUUCACAGCUAACAGUCCACCCUCUCAAGGAGGCAGGCUAAGCUGAGGCUGCUGCCGGGCUCCCUGGACACCCCGCCUUUGCGCAGGAUCUCCAGAAGCCCUCAGGGAAGUGCUCCUCCCCAGCGCCCCGGUGGGGACUUCGGGACGGAACCUCUCUGUGGUUCUCACCAAACAUCCAGGGAACCCUCACCUCUAACCGAGCCCACGAGGAGGCUUCGUCAUCGCCAGGCCCUUCUACGCUCCAGCUGGGAAGCUUGGGCGCAUCUCCUCUCAGUUACCAACCCCAAGACCCAGGACCCGCGCAGCGUGGCACGACCACCCCCUACCCAAUCCCCCGCAAGCCUGCAACACCCCGCACCCAGACCCACAGUCCAGGCGAAGGAGAGAGGGUUGCAGCGGAGGGCCCGGAGCGGAUGCUCAGGGCGGGGCGGAGGGGGCGGGAAGCUGGAGCCACGGUCGCGGCGAGGGCGAGCAGCCGCGCGCUCCCGGUGCUGGGAGGAAUGCCUGCAGAACCGAGGCGAUCAGACGCGAGGAGGCCUGAGCGCGCGGUCUGGACCAAGGGGAGUUUUACAGUUGGAGCUGGAUGUACCACUCUACUCCUGAUUUGGACCCUGGCAGCCCAUCUGUCUCCUGAAAAAACCUCUCACACCUUUUCUUCCUGCACUCCCGACUUGGUCAGGCACUGUGCCGGAGAUGGGGUGAAAAGAAUGAAUUCACGACAGACCCGACUGCGUGGCUGAAUCGCACAGAUGCUGUGCUGUGCAAAUGAAGACAGACAUGCAAGGCCGUGUGCUAACUCAGUCCGUGCCGAUGGAGCCCCACAGCCAACAACACCCAGCUCUGGCGUCAGGAGGGAUCAGUGGUUACCUCAGAUGGGGCGUGAGGGCAUUGACCUGGAAGGGGCACAGAGGAGCUUUCAGGGGUGAUGGGGCUGUUCUAUAUUUUGAUGGCAGCUGUGGCCACAUGAGUGUAAUCCGUGGGUGAACAUUUCUUGAAACACAUCAAAAUAUACACUUACAUGGUUGCACCUUAGUGCAUGCAAAUUAAGCCUCGAUAAAUAAUUGUGUGGACUAAAUUUUUAACAGAGGGGGAAAAGCUUGUCCCCGAGGAACUGAAAUCUCGUGAAGUCAUGGAAAGGGCAUUUUAGAUGGAGGAACAGCCUGCAUCUAUUCCACCAUCAGGCAUUUAUUACAUACCUGCUCUGUCCCAGGUCCUGAGGACAGAGACAGCAAUGGAGAAGGAACACCCAUUCUCCUUCCAGAACAGCUUCCCACCCAGUGGAAGAGAAUGACCCUCGAUACGUGAAUUGUACACCAGAGGCACAGCAUGAGCAAGGGGACAGAGGACUGUACAUGCCCAGGCUUCGAGAGGAGAGGGUGACAUGGUGGGUUGGAGCACAGGGUUUACCGGGGCAGGGUGUGGAGGGUGGUGGGACCAGGUCUUGCAAAAGUGUGUGUGCAGGACGAAGGAUCUGGGUGUCCACCCUGGAGCCAAGAGAGGAGGGCAACUUCAGCAUGAAGGUGGGGAGGGAGGAGAGUGACACGCUCAGAGCCUUGGUUUAGAAAAACUGUCCCAACGUUUCUACCCUGGGCUGUCUGGCUGGUUGUAGCCACACCCUCUGUCAGCAGAGGGCAGGGGGUUAAACAGGAGAUGGGGACACCAGCCAGGAGGCUGUUGCAUGAUGAAAAAUUUGUCCCCCAGGGCUGGGUCCAGACUGUGACAUGCUUUGUUUGAUGGCCAAUGAAUAAACAGACAAUGUCAUUUGCCGUACAAUAGAAUAUUAUUUACUACCACCAACAAAAAGAUACAAAGUUCUGAUAUAGGCCAAAGCAAAGAUAACCCCCAAAACAGUACACUGAGCGAAAGAACCCGGUCACAAAAGACCAUGUAUGGUAUGAUUUCAUUUAUGCAAAAUGUCCAGAAUAGGCAAAUCUAUAGAGACAGAAAGUAGAGUAGUAAUUGUCUAGGCUGGGGGAAUGGGAGUAGAAUGAGGGAUGACCACUAAGGGGAGCACUAUUUCUUACUGGACUGAUGUAAAUGUUCUCAAAAUUAGAUUCUGGUGACGUUUGCACAACUCUUACUGUACACGUUAAUAAAUGAACAAAACAGAAUCUAAGC